CUGACAUGGCAGCUACGGCUGAAAAAAGACGAAAACGCCUUGAUGCGUUUGUUUCUCGCAAAACACAUGUAGCUCGCGGGUGAUCCCGCGUGGCACGUUUGAUCACACGUGACAGUUACUCAUAAACAAUGGUGGCGCGAGAAACGCUUGACAAUGAGUUUUAACUUAUAUUUAUUGCAUACUUGAGAUAAAAUAUUUUUUAAAAUAAAAUAUUUUUCCGACCUACCUACCCAUAUAAACAUGGCUGUGAAACCAACUAUUAUUUUUAUUUGGCCUAAGGACAAUAUUGCUACAAAACUGGUCACAUUGUUCAUUUUCGAAACGAAUCACAAAACAUGUUCAAUUUUGUUCUAUCAUAGAUUCGUGCUUUUUGAAUUAUCUUGUACAAGUAGACGAGUAUUGGUAGGUGAACGAUCAAAUAUGCAUUUAAAUGAAGUAAUAAUUCCCCGAGCCACUGAUUCGCCAAAUCCUAUUCCCAGCAGCAAAAUUGCUGGUGCAAAUUCCAUUCACAGUGGUCCAAAUCUUUUCAAUCUUUCUAAAAAUCUUCCCAGUGAAAAAUAGGAAAAUCCCAGCUCCCAUUUAACCCUCACGACUAGGGCUCGAAUUUCCCUGAAAUCAAUCGACGGCAAUGGCGUUAAAAAUUGCCGUAGAACGUAACAGCUGUCUACGGCAAUUUUGACAGUUUCCACGGCAUUUUUCAAAUUACUGUAAUAAAACUUUAAUUUUAUUGUUACUUUGGAUUUUUGACAAGCUAGAAACAUGUCUACGU